ensembl:lncRNA
GGAGUUCCCUGGUGGUGCAGUGGGUUAAGGAUCCAGUGUUGUCACUGCUGUGGUGCAGGCUCGAUCCCUGGCCUGGGAACUUCUACAUGCUGCAGGUGUGGUUAAAAAUAAAAAUUAAAAUUAAAAAGUCAGUUAGUGGUUAGUGCCUCUGCUCACAAGCUGCAGAUAUGUGAGAAAUGCCCACUACCAGCUUAUACGCUCACUCUCAUUCCACUCAUUUCUUGUCAAGAAAUACCCACUGAGCACCUACUGUCUACAUCACACUUUCUUACUGUUGGAAACAUUGUUAAGAAGCUUGUCUCUGUUCUCAGGGGUUUCCAUCCAGUGAAGGAAGAUGAGGAAAGAGAGGAGUGGACAGGAGACCUAGAUCAUUCAGAGUGAUGUGAUCUGUGAAGGAAAUGGGGCAGACUAAAGGCACAGCAGUUCUGAGACCUCAGAUGACCUCACCCGCAAAGCGAGCUGGAUGCAUAUCCACACCCACCUCGGGCUGUAGAGAUGAAGAUGCAGAGACUCAGCAGUGAAGGGGGUCAAGAGCAAGCUCCUCCCACUGCAGAGGAGCAUUCUCCACGUGGGUGGGAACCUCUGUGGGGAAGUGCACCAAGAGGCAGGUGUAUCCAUGCGGCUGGCUGCCACAUGACAGGUACAAUCAGCCCUCUGUAUACAUGGGUUCCACAUUCAUGGAUUCAACCAAACUUGAAUCAAAA